rnacentral:rRNA from 1 species
GACGAACGCUGGCGGCGUGCUUAACACAUGCAAGUCGAACGAUGAACCCGGAGCUUGCUCUGGGGGAUUAGUGGCGAACGGGUGAGUAACACGUGAGUAACCUGCCCUGGACUCUGGGAUAAGCGUUGGAAACGACGUCUAAUACCGGAUAGGACCUUGGAUCGCAUGAUCUGGGGUGGAAAGUUUUUUCGGUCUGGGAUGGACUCGCGGCCUAUCAGCUUGUUGGUGAGGUAAUGGCUCACCAAGGCGUCGACGGGUAGCCGGCCUGAGAGGGUGACCGGCCACACUGGGACUGAGACACGGCCCAGACUCCUACGGGAGGCAGCAGUGGGGAAUAUUGCACAAUGGGCGAAAGCCUGAUGCAGCAACGUCGCGUGCGGGAUGACGGCCUUCGGGUUGUAAACCGCUUUUAGUAGGGAAGAAGGGCUUCGGCUUGACGGUACCUGCAGAAAAAGGACCGGCUAACUACGUG